AGCAGGUCCCGUCCCUCCCUCCCUCCUCCCUCGCCUCGUCCCCGCCAGCCCAGCAGCCUCACAAGAUGGGCACAUUUCUCAACGAUUCUCCGCUUUGCCGCCUCUGUGCCACCGAGAGCGAGGGGGGCACCUUCACCAUCUUCGACGACAGUGAGGAGAAAGCAUCCCUGGCCAUCCUCAUCAACAAAUAUCUGCCCAUAAAGGUGGUUGACGAUGGGCGGCUUCCGGUGUGUAUCUGCGAGCGCUGCCAUGUGGGCGUGGCGGCAACGGUGGACCUCAUUGACCGCAUGGUGGAAGGACAACACCGCCUGCGCUCCCUCCUGCAGCCGGAGAGGCCCCCAGCGUCCCCCCAGGCUGUCCUCAUCAACCUCCAGGGAGAGACACCAGACAUACCCAUGGAUGACCUGACCAAGGGUGCCAGCGUGGCCAAGGUGUUCGGGGAGAGCCACCCCAUGAGCCUGGCAGUGGACGGCCGCCCACCACCAGGACCACCGAAGAGAAAGAGAGGGCGGCCACGCAGAGGGGAGGGCUCGGCAAAACUUCCCGUGAAGGUGGAGGAUAUCGAGGAGCUGAGGCAGGAGGACUUGCUGGACCCGAUGAAGGGCCCGAGGCGGUCUGGGAGGAAAGCAAGUCUUCCCUCCAGAUAUCGAGACUCCAUCGCCGGCCGUGACUUUGAGAAGCUUAUGAAUGACUCUGGGGUUAAGGAAGAGGUCAUGGAGGAGCUUGACGACCUCACCGAUGCCGACUACCGCCACCAGGGGGCUGCCGCGGGGAUGCUGGUGCCCGAGGUGGUGAUGGAUGAGGAGCAGCCCGGUGGUGGUGAGGGCGGUGAUGGUGACGACGGCGCGAGUAUCAUCAUUGCGGAUGCCUCUGGGCCGCCCUCGGACCUCCCUGUCUCAGUGAAUAUUGAGGUGAAUUUCCAGGAAGACGGCAACAUUACCCUCAGAGGAAUGGAGGACUUGGAGGAGGGCAAGGACAAGGCUUCCUCUUCCAUUAGCUCAAUACAGAUUACUACAGUUGGCGAGACGGUCAGCGUGCCCCCCAAGGCGUCUUUCAGCGAGCCCACGUUGUUCCGUAAGAAGCGUGGGGCCAAGAAGAAGGCCAAGUGGCUGUGUGACCUCUGUGGCAAGGGCUUCCUCCAUAAGGGCCGAUACCUCCUGCAUAACCGCCUCCACAAAGAAGUCAUCCUCCAGUGUGACACCUGCAAGGAUCGCUUCUCCACCCGCGAGGACAUCAACAUCCACCAACUCAACACGCAACACACGGGCCUCGGCAUCAUUGAGGUGGAAAAAGAGGACAACCAGGUGGAGUUCAAGUGUCCGCAUUGCCCCACGCGCACUUUCGUCACGCAGGAAGGCUACAACAACCACGUGUCCAGCAUGCACGAGGGGGUGAAGCCCUACGCCUGUGGUACCUGUGGAAAGCGCUUUGCCUACCAGCACAGCCUUCGCAACCACUACGCUCUUCAUGAGCCCCCGAAAGAGGAGCGCGAGUACCCCUGUCCGACGUGCGGCAAGGUCUUCACCCACCCAAGCUCCCUCAUCUACCACCGGGACUCCUCGCACAACAAUGGGCGGGUGUUUGUGUGUCACCUCUGCGGCUCCACCUUCAAACACAAACAGCUGCUACAGAGGCAUUACAGUGUGCACUCAGAUGACCGACCAUUUGAGUGUGAGAUCUGCAACACGGCUUUCAAGACUCGCGGGAACCUCUACAACCACAUGAACACCCACACGGGGCUCAAGAAAUUCACCUGCGAGAUCUGCGGCAAACAGUUCAACCACCUGACCUCCCUCACGCUCCACGUCCGCUCUCAUACAGGCGAGAAGCCCUUCAAGUGUGGUUACUGCAACAAGCGGUUCACGCAGAAUGGCAACCUGCAGGAGCACAUACGCAUUCACACCGGGGAGAAACCGUACUGCUGCGACACCUGCGGAAAGAAGUUCACCACAUCCUCACAGUUCAAGCUACAUCUGCGGAGACACACCGGCGAGCGUCCCUUCACCUGUACCUACUGCACCCGGCCCUUCCUGAACCGCGAGGCGUGGCGCACACACGAACGCAAGCACAGCGGGGAGAGGCCGUACGAGUGUGGCGCGUGCAACAGGAACUUCUCUGAGAACUCCACCUUCAAGAAGCACCUCCGCAUGCACACCACCUCAGGACUGAAGCCAUACCUAUGCAACCUCUGCGGCAAGUCCUUCAGCACCUCAUCCAACCUCGUCAAGCACCGACGCACACACCGAGAGGACGAGGCGUGGCUCCUGCAGCCCUCCGGAACCUUUGAGCACACGCAGGGUGACCAACGCAUCAUCUACAUCCUCUCCGACAAGGACGACAAUGACACUAUCACCGCACUGCAGGCCGUGGAGGCAGGCAUCUCCGAGGACUCACAACACAACACGCAACACCUCGGCAACCUGACCACCGGCGGCGCCACCCAGAUGCUGCAACUCAACACGGAAGGCUUCACGCUCGGGUCCUACAGCCAAGCCACGGCCGCCACCCCCACUCCCCCUACGGCUGUCCCCCCCUCCGCCACCACUGCUGCUUCACCCUCUGUGCCUUCUUCUGCUGCUGCUGCCUCAUCGUCUACGGCUGUGAUGCUUCAGGAAGGGUCGUCGAAUUCUUCCGAUAGACAGAUACAGAUCUUUACCAACGAGGAAGGGCAGUCGGUCAUCCCCGUCAUAAACUCAUCCGGGGAGACUAUAGGGCAGGUGCAGGGACACUUUAUGACCGGGCAACCAGAUGGCGCCAGUGGUCUCGCCUCACUUGGAACUGGCGGCAGCACACUCGAGAUUACCCUGAAGGACGGACAGCCACUGAGCCUCGUGAUACCUGACGGGGAGGACCCAACAAUGUACGUGCAGAGGGCGCUGGAGUCUGCCGUCAUGACCCAACAACAACAACAGCAUGGAGGGGGUUCACAAGUCUCUCGGAAUCAGUCUGCAGUGAGGUUGCCGACGCCUAUUGGAACUUCGCCUUGUGUUUCGUCCACCUCGCCUGUUUCUACGGGAGUGCCGCAGCCUAAUGCAUAAUUGUUUGUUUGUGUUUUGGGGUGCGGUGGGGUGGGGGGGGCGGUCAGUUGGAAAUGUCUGUUUUUGCCAGUUCAAUGUCUUGCAUAUUUGUUUUCUCUCCAUCCUUUAUAUCUUCUUUGUCAGUCUUUGUUUCCUCAUAUUUGUCAGUCUCUACCUUUCUCUAUCCUUCAUCUUUCUUAUAUCUUAUCUGUCAGUCUUUGCUUCCUCAUAUCUGUCAAUCUCUAUCUUUAUCCUUCAAUUUUCUUUCCUUCUUUUGUCUUAUCUGUCAGUCUUAGUUUCUUCAUAUCUGUCAAUCUCUAUCUUUAUCCUUCAAUUUUCUUUCCUUCUUUUAUAUCUUAUCUGUCAGUCUUAGUUUCCUCAUAUCUGUCAAUCUCUAUCUUUAUCCUUCAAUUUUCUUUCCUUCUUUUGUCUUAUCUGUCAGUCUUAGUUUCCUCAUAUCUGUCAAUCUCUAUCUUUAUCCUUCAAUUUUCUUUCCUUCUUUUAUGUCUUAUCUGUCAGUCUUAGUUUCCUCAUAUCUGUCAAUCUCUAUCUUUAUCCUUCAAUUUUCUUUCCUUCUUUUAUAUCUUAUCUGUCAGUCUUAGUUUCCUCAUUUAUAUCAUUAUCUUUAUCUGUCCCUCUCUCUCUCCUUCUUACUGUCUUGAUUGCCCUUUCAGUAUCUUCAAUCUUUGUUUCCUCUCCUCCUUUCAUGUCUUAUUAGUCACUUUCUCUUUCCUCAUUUCUACCAGUCUCUAUCUGUCUUUAACCCUCUGUCCUUUUUACUCUCUUUUUAUUUUCCAUCCUCUUUUAGCAUGUCUGUUCUUUGUCUCUUCAUCUCUGACCUAUUUGCUAUGUCAGUAUUUGUUCUUGGUCUGCAAUAACACACACACACACACACACACACACACACACACACACACACACACACACACACACACAUGGUAGCAAUAUCUAUGCCUAGUUUUUUCUAUGGACAGCGUAGUGUUUUGAUACUUAGAUACAUUUAUAACUAGGGAUUAAGUGAAUGAUCCUCCUACACUGUGCUCACUCGUCGUCCUCCUUGAAACUCGCUGGCAAGAAUGGUGAAAAAAGUGACUCCGAAAAGGUUUAUAGUUCGGAAAAGUACUGAAAAAAUAAAUAAAUAAAUAAAUAAAACUUCUGUAUAAUUAAUGUGACAACUGAAAAAAAAAAAAUGAAAGCCUAUGACAAGUUAGAUGAAAAAAUGAAAGCCUGUGACAAGUUCGAUUAAAAAUAUUGAAAUCUGUGACAAGUUCAACUAAUAAUAUGAAAGCCUGUGAUGAGUUCAAUUAAAAAUAUGAAAUCUGUGACACGUUCGAUUAAAAAUAUGGAAUCUGUGACAAGUUCAGUUAAAAUAUGAAAUCCGUGACAAGCUCAACAAAAAAAUAUGAAAGCCUAUAAUAAGUUACUGAAAAUAUGAAGCCUGUGAUAAUGUUAAAAUAAAUGAUGAAUGUAGGAAAAAAAAAAAAAAAA